rnacentral:rRNA from 1 species
GGCUUAACACAUGCAAGUCGAACGAUAUAGUGGCAGACGGGUGAGUAACGCGUGGGAACGUACCUUUCACUACGGAAUAGCUCUUGGAAACGAGUGGUAAUACCGUAUACGCCCUUCGGGGGAAAGAUUUAUCGGUGAAAGAUCGGCCCGCGUUAGAUUAGCUAGUUGGUAGGGUAAUGGCCUACCAAGGCGACGAUCUAUAGCUGGUCUGAGAGGAUGAUCAGCCACACUGGGACUGAGACACGGCCCAGACUCCUACGGGAGGCAGCAGUGGGGAAUCUUGCACAAUGGGCGAAAGCCUGAUGCAGCCAUGCCGCGUGAAUGAUGAAGGCCUUAGGGUUGUAAAAUUCUUUCGCUAGGGAUGAUAAUGACAGUACCUAGUAAAGAAGCCCCGGC